CAGUAGCCGCGGUAAUACGUAGGUGGCAAGCGUUGUCCGGAAUUAUUGGGCGUAAAGGGCUCGCAGGCGGUUUCUUAAGUCUGAUGUGAAAGCCCCCGGCUCAACCGGGGAGGGUCAUUGGAAACUGGGAAACUUGAGUGCAGAAGAGGAGAGUGGAAUUCCACGUGUAGCGGUGAAAUGCGUAGAGAUGUGGAGGAACACCAGUGGCGAAGGCAACUCUCUGGUCUGUAACUGACGCUGAGGAGCGAAAGCGUGGGGAGCGAACAGGAUUAGAUACCCGCGUAGUCCCUGUCUCUUAUAC
rnacentral:rRNA from 1 species